rnacentral:rRNA from 1 species
CCUACGGGAGGCAGCAGUGAGGAAUAUUGGUCAAUGGACGAGAGUCUGAACCAGUCAAGUAGCGUGAAGGAUGACUGCCCUAUGGGUUGUAAACUUCUUUUAUAUGGGAAUAAAACGUUCCACGUGUGGGAUUUUGUAUGUACCAUAUGAAUAAGGAUCGGCUAACUCCGUGCCAGCAGCCGCGGUAAUACGGAGGAUCCGAGCGUUAUCCGGAUUUAUUGGGUUUAAAGGGAGCGUAGGUGGAUUGUUAAGUCAGUUGUGAAAGUUUGCGGCUCAACCGUAAGAUUGCAGUUGAAACUGGCAGUCUUGAGUACAGUAGAGGUGGGCGGAAUUCGUGGUGUAGCGGUGAAAUGCUUAGAUAUCACGAAGAACUCCGAUUGCGAAGGCAGUUCACUGGACUGCAACUGACACUGAGGCUCGAAAGUGUGGGUAUCAAACAGGAUUAGAUACCCCGGUAGUC